rnacentral:snRNA from 1 species
AUCCGCAAUUAGAAUUUUGUGGUU